AAAUGAAUUGACGGGGGCCCGCACAAGCAGCGGAGCAUGUGGCUUAAUUCGACGCAACGCGAAGAACCUUACCAAGGCUUGACAUACGCCGGAAAACCGUGGAGACACGGUCCCCCUUGUGGUCGGUGUACAGGUGGUGCAUGGCUGUCGUCAGCUCGUGUCGUGAGAUGUUGGGUUAAGUCCCGCAACGAGCGCAACCCUUGUUCUGUGUUGCCAGCACGUCCUUUCGGGGAUGGUGGGGACUCACAGGAGACUGCCGGGGUCAACUCGGAGGAAGGUGGGGACGACGUCAAGUCAUCAUGCCCCUUAUGUCUUGGGCUGCACACGUGCUACAAUGGCCGGUACAAUGAGCUGCGAUACCGCGAGGUGGAGCGAAUCUCAAAAAGCCGGUCUCAGUUCGGAUUGGGGUCUGCAACUCGACCCCAUGAAGUCGGAGUUGCUAGUAAUCGCAGAUCAGCAUUGCUGCGGUGAAUACGUUCCCGGGCCUUGUACACACCGCCCGU
rnacentral:rRNA from 1 species